rnacentral:lncRNA from 7 species
GCUGCCUGCUCUGACCAGGGCCCUUCUGGAAUACCUAGUUCUCACCCCUCUGAAAGACAUGGUUACUUAGCAACCAAAGCGUGUGGCAGCACUGCCUGAAUAGGCAGCUUAGAUCUACAGGAGAGCCUAGUGCCACUCUUGCCUAACAUCUUAGGAGUGGCUGUCCAGGGAGCCAUGGAGAGCUGCAGAACCUUUGCUCGCACGAGGUCCAGGGGAGUGGCCUAGGGAGGAAGUGAAGGGGCUGAUGGGCUCACCCUACCCUUAUGACAUUCUGGGGACAGAGAAGGAUGGGGUGCUGCCAAGAGUUGUAUGAGAGGCAGCUGCAUAGUGGCAAGGCCAGGGAUGCUUAUUUCGGUUGUGUCGAUACCCCCGGCAGCAGGUGGCCCAAGACCUGAGCCCUCCCCUGGGCCCCCACCACCCUUGCUGCCCAAACCAGGAAAGGACAACCAGAAACUUCAGAAGCUACUGAGAAAGGCUGCUCGGAAGAAGAUGUCGGGGGUGACCGCCACCCCACCUGGGGCCUUCCGUACCUCCCUGUCCCCUCCUUCCCCAGCAAAGGUCUCUGGCUACUCAUUUCAAGGCACCUUCUAGUCUUGACGCUCCAGCCCCAGAAACUGCCUGCCCCCACAGUGGCUUUGCCCAUGUAUCUGCUCCUACAGCGGGUGGUACCCACAUCACUCAAGUACAUAUCCGGCUGUCACCAUCCUCACAUAUUGGGACUUCUGAGUCCCCCAGAAUGGCCCUGGAUGGAGAUAAAAGCCUGUGUACUUCUAGCACCCAGCCUCUCAUCCCAGUGGCUCAUAUUCGGCCACUGCCUGCUGGGGUACAGACAGUUAGUCCUAGGCCCGAGGAGCCCUCUAUAACAAGGCCACCACCUAGCUUUCAGGCCUCAGUGAACAGAGAAAGUGGCGCUAGGGUGGUGGUGCCCAUAGCCCCUACAUACCGCUCACCUGGACCCUCACCUUAUAGUCCACCUCCUGCAGCUCCUGAAGCAAAACAUGUAGAGGAGCCGCCCACAGCCAGGCCUGCCAUGGAGCCCAGGAAUGUCUCUAGCCUCCCCGGAGCCUCAGGCCCCUCAGACCUCCACCCAUACCCUGUUCCCAAAGUUGCACCUAAGCCCUCCCGUAGUGGCUGGACACGGCUAAAGAAGCAGCUGAUGGAGGAGGCAAAGGAGCCUGCGUUUCCAGAACUGAAGCCGAACCUGGAGCCAAUGCAACCAGAGGUGCCAGCCCCUGUGGUGGGCCUGCAGCCCCCUGCCUCCCGAGCAUCCAGGAUGUGGGAUGCAGUGCUGUACCGCAUGUCACUGGCUGAGUCCCAUAGAGACCACCCUGUGGGGCCUGGAGAUAGGGGCCAUCCUCUGGCCUGCCUCAACCGCCUGCCAUUUCUGUGCCGACCUCGUUUCAAUGCCCGGAAGCUACAGGAGGUGGUCCGGCCCCCUCCUACCUUCCACCCCAUUCUGGAGCUGCAUUCUCGGCCCAAGAAUUUCAACCGGACAGCAGAAGGUUGGAGGCUUCAGUAACAAAACCAGAGUGGCCUCUGGGACUCUGGACUCUGGUGGACAGAGACUGGCUGUGGCUGAGCAUACAGAGCAGAGAGACUUAGCCCUCACAAGUGAACAAGAUGGGUCAGCAGGGUGUAUGACCUUGGUAGCUGAGUGCUAGCUGCUAAGAAGAGCCUAUCGGACAGACACAGAUCAGUUGGUGGGAAGAGAUAUGGCAAAGUGAGAGAAGUGAAUGAAGCUGGGAGCAUGUGGCUGGAGGUGGUUUGGGGUUGUGGAGAGUGUGCACUGGAGAAUGUUCAUGGAUGGUGGGAACCUGGCUUCAGGUCUAGAGACUGUGGGGGGCUCUAGUUCCAGAGAAAGAAGGCUUGGAUGAGGAGUAUUCAGAGGUACAUAGGACUGGGCAAUUGAGAAAGAAUUUUCUGUGGUCCUGUAGAUAUCCCUUCUGGUUUCCUGACAGCAAGGGCUUACUGAUUAAGACUGCACCAAAUGCAUGGUGUAGUGAAAAAAAUCACAGCCAAGUUUCAACAGUUGGGUAAGGGUAGGUCGAGCUAGAGGGCUACAGAGAGGCAGGAUCCAGGAUUAGAGAAAUUCCUAAGAUCUGCCAGACUCUCAUCAGCUGUGAGAGGAGUGAUCCAGAAGAGCCAGGUGUAACAAGACUCAGCAAGGAUUGAGCUGGUAGCCCCACCUGGGAUGUAAUGGGUAUUACAGUUGUAGAUGGAGCCAUGCAAUAAAUGUAUGUAUACG